rnacentral:rRNA from 1 species
GAUGAACGCUGGCGGUGUGCCUAAUACAUGCAAGUCGAGCGAACAGACGAGGAGCUUACUCCUCUGACGUUAGCGGCGGACGGGUGAGUAACACGUGGAUAACCUACCUAUAAGACUGGGAUAACUUCGGGAAACCGGAGCUAAUACCGGAUAACAUGUUGAACCGCAUGGUUCAACAGUGAAAGACGGUCUUGCUGUCACUUAUAGAUGGAUCCGCGUCGCGUUAGCUAGUUGGUAAGGUAACGGCUUACCAAGGCAACGAUGCGUAGCCGACCUGAGAGGGUGAUCGGCCACACUGGAACUGAGACACGGUCCAGACUCCUACGGGAGGCAGCAGUAGGGAAUCUUCCGCAAUGGGCGAAAGCCUGACGGAGCAACGCCGCGUGAGUGAAGAAGGUCUUCGGAUCGUAAAACUCUGUUAUUAGGGAAGAACAAAUGUGUAAGUAACUAUGCACGUCUUGACGGUACCUAAUCAGAAAGCCACGGCUAACUACGUG